rnacentral:rRNA from 1 species
UAAGGAAUAUUGGUCAAUGGACGCAAGUCUGAACCAGCCAUGCCGCGUGAAGGAUGAAGGUCCUCUGGAUUGUAAACUUCUUUUAUCUGGGACGAAAACGGGAUUUUUAUCUCAAUUGACGGUACCAGAGGAAUAAGCACCGGCUAACUCCGUGCCAGCAGCCGCGGUAAUACGGAGGGUGCGAGCGUUAUCCGGAUUUACUGGGUUUAAAGGGUGCGUAGGUGGGCUUAUAAGUCAGUGGUGAAAUCUCCGAGCUUAACUUGGAAACUGCCGUUGAUACUAUAGGUCUUGAAUCAUCUGGAGGUAAGCGGAAUAUGUCAUGUAGCGGUGAAAUGCUUAGAUAUGACAUAGAACACCAAUUGCGAAGGCAGCUUACUACAUAUAAAUUGACGCUGAGGCACGAAAGCGUGGGGAUCAAACA